rnacentral:rRNA from 1 species
GUGAUCGAGCGACGCCGCGUGGAGGAUGAAGGCCUUCGGGUUGUAAACUCCUUUUACCUGGCAAGAAAACCGGAAACCCAACACGUUUUCGGUUGACGCAACCAGGAGAAAAAGCCACGGCUAACUCUGUGCCAGCAGCCGCGGUAAUACAGAGGUGGCAAGCGUUGUUCGGAAUCACUGGGCAUAAAGGGCGCGUAGGCGGCGAGGCAAGUCGGGUGUGAAAUCCCUCAGCUCAACUGAGGAACUGCGCCCGAAACUACCUUGCUAGAGUGCAGGAGAGGAGAGUGGAACUCCUAGUGGAGCGGUGAAAUGCGUAGAGAUUAGGAGGAACGCCGGUGGCGAAAGCGACUCUCUGGCCUGUAACUGACGCUGAGGCGCGAAAGCUAGGGGAGCAAACGGGAUUAGAUACCCCGGUAGUCCUAGCCGUAAACGAU